AUUUCUGUUGCCAAAACUGUUUGUAAAACUAAAUUUUAUUUAUGUAUAAGUCAGAGUGUUUUGCACACAGAGGACACUGGAGUCCUUGAUGGUUGAAAGGGAUCUGAUACCUUGUCUCACUAUUUGAUCUGAGUGGUAAAUGAAAGACCAACGCUUACAAUAGUCUUGAAGGAGAAACUCAUAAAUAACACUUUAUGUGGAAGAUGGAUAUACACUUAUUAGUGCUGUGAAACUACAUUUAUUCAUUACUAUUUUUUCUGGUCUUGAGGUAAGCCCAGAGCCUUGAGCUUGCUAAACAACUGCUCUACCCACCGAACCUCAAGAUCCUCAACUCUACAGUGUGACACAUGAAAAGAGUGAGAGCAAAUGGAUGGAGUAUGUAGAAGGGUUUAUGAAGCAUCCAAAACAAGGGAACACAGGAUGUCCCAUACAACUUCUUACCUCGUGUUCGGUCAUUACUAAUGUUCAAGUGAGUACUUUUCCCCUAGGCAUUAUUCCUAGAGUCCCUCAGAAUAUACUGCUUCUGUCCAGUGUAAAGCUGAAAGUUGUGAGUGGGAUGGGCAGAAAAACAAGAAGCAGAGUGUCAGGUAGAGAGAAAAG
rnacentral:lncRNA from 1 species